rnacentral:rRNA from 1 species
UACGUAGGUGGCAAGCGUUAUCCGGAAUUAUUGGGCGUAAAGCGCGCGCAGGCGGUUUCUUAAGUCUGAUGUGAAAGCCCACGGCUCAACCGUGGAGGGUCAUUGGAAACUGGGGAACUUGAGUGCAGAAGAGAAAAGCGGAAUUCCACGUGUAGCGGUGAAAUGCGUAGAGAAGUGGAGGAACACCAGUGGCGAAGGCGGCUUUUUGGUCUGUAACUGACGCUGAGGCGCGAAAGCGUGGGGAGCAAACAGG